GCCCCCGUUGAUUAAAUGGUAAAUCACUCGUCACACUUGCGAUGGCUCCUCAGAGCUGGUCAGAGACGGAGGUUCGAAUCCUCCCGAGGGCA